rnacentral:tRNA from 1 species
AGGCCUUUAGUGUAGUGGUAACACAACUGAUUCCAAACCAGUUAUCGUGAGUUCGAUUCUUACAGGGUCUG